AGCGAGAGAACGUUGCCGCUGGCAAUGGCCCGAAGGCGAGGCGCUUUAGCGCCGAGUAAUCCUUCCCCCACCACUG
rnacentral:sRNA from 1 species